rnacentral:rRNA from 1 species
GACGAACGCUGGCGGCGUGCUUAACACAUGCAAGUCGAACGGAAAGGCCUUGCUUUUGUGGGGUGCUCGGGUGGCUAACGGGGGAGUCACACGUGUGUAACCUGCCCUUUAUUUUGGGAUAACUUCAGGAAACUGGGGCUAAUAGCGGAAAUUAGCUCCUGCUGCAUGGUGGGGGUUGGAAAGUUUCGGCUGUUGGGGAUGGACUCGCGGCUUAUCAGCUUGUUGGUGGGGUAGUGGCUUACCAAGGCGUUGACGGGUAGCCGGCCUGAGAGGGUGACCGGCCACAUUGGGACUGAGAUACGGCCCAGACGCCUACGGGAGGCAGCAGUGGGGAAUAUUGCACAAUGGGCGGAAGCCUGAUGCAGCAACGCCGCGUGCGGGAUGACGGCCUUCGGGUUGUAAACCGCUUUCGCCUGUGACGAAGCGUGAGUGACGGUAAUGGGUAAAGAAGCACCGGCUAACUACGUG